rnacentral:lncRNA from 1 species
GAUACUAUCGAGCAAUCUGAUCUUUAUAGUACCUAUUCUGAUGGUGUUAUUAUCGUCAUUGCCCAUUAGAACAAUAUCAGCACUGCAAUCCUUCUUUGCAAGGACAUGUAUGAAGCAUUGAGAGUCUAGUGUCCCUGAAUCGAAUAGAGAUCUAUUGCUUGUAGUUUUAUUAAAAUCUCUGCUUGGCCGCUUUCAUCUUCAUUGUUGACAAUAUUUAUUUUUUCUAGCCUCUGAUUUUGCUUCCAGUUCUCUCAUCAAUUUGCUGCAAAAUUUUCUGAUGCUUCUCUACUCUUGGUAUUAUUAGAAUAGUCAAUGUUUAGAAAAACUAAUUGAGGCUUAUGCCUCUAAUCCCACCUCGCGUGAGGCUUUCAUAAAACACCUUGAAUCCCACUUCUUAAGUGCCAUUUGGGAGGCUUAUGCCUUUGACUUAGGGAGGCUUAGCCUAAGCCUCAAGAUGACUAAGUUGUUUGCUCUUUUGUCUUGC